UUUCCGUAGGUGAACCUGCGGAAGGAUCAUUAUUGUAUAACCGAGGUGCGAGGACUGUCGCUAACUUGACAGGACGUGCGUGCCCGCGUGGCGUCACACAGAUCCAUUUCACCCUUCUGUGGACCCCCGCGCGGGUCCCACUUUGGCUUGUUCGGAGGGGUGGUGAUGUUAUCACGCAUACAUUGUAUGAAGUGAAGAAUGUAUUUUUUGUUUUUGCGAUCACGGAAUCAAAUUAACAUUCAACAACGGAUCUCUUGGAUCUCGCAUCGAUCCAGAAAA
rnacentral:misc_RNA from 1 species